rnacentral:misc_RNA from 1 species
AAAACAGGUCCCAUUCAUGUUGGAGCAACAACGAAGAAUUGCAUCAGUGCUAAAUACCUUAGUAUACAAUGGCUUGGCCCAUAGUACAGUUCAGCAGAAUAAACCUCUUAUGGAUUCUGCAAUCAGAUGCUUGCAUUUGAUGUAUGAAAGGGAUUGCAGGCACCAGUUUUGUCCUCCUGUUUUGUGGCUUUCACCUGCUAGAAAGAGCCGACCCCCAAUUGCAGUUGCUGCCAGAACUCAUGAAAUUGUGUUGUCUAAUACAAAAUUAGAUGAUGCUUUGACUGUGCCAAGUGUGGGUUCUGUAAUCACUAUAACUCCACAUGUAUAUCCAUUCGAAGAAAGAGUUCAGAUGUUUCGAGAGUUUAUCAACAUGGAUAAAGUAUCUCGAAAAAUGGCCGGUGAAGUCACUGGACCUGGUUCACGAGCAGUUGAGAUUGUAAUUCGGCGGGGUCAUAUUGUUGAAGAUGGAUUUCGGCAACUAAAUACUCUUGGAUCAAGAUUGAAAUCAUCCAUUCAUGUUUCAUUUGUUAGUGAAUGCGGUGUUCCAGAGGCAGGCUUGGAUUAUGGUGGAUUAUCAAAGGAGUUUUUAACCGAUAUAUCAAAAGCAGCCUUUUCCCCUGAGUAUGGCCUAUUCUCCCAAACAUUAACAUCAGACAGAUUUUUAAUCCCUAAUCCAACUGCAAGAUAUCUGGAGAAUGGUAUCCAGAUGAUUGAAUUUCUUGGAAGAGUUGUUGGGAAAGCUCUUUACGAAGGAAUAUUGCUGGAUUACUCUUUUUCACACGUUUUUGUACAAAAGCUGUUAGGCCGAUAUAGCUUUCUUGAUGAACUAUCAACACUUGAUCCAGAGCUGUACAGGAAUCUCAUGUAUGUGAAGCAUUAUGACGGUGAUAUCAAGGAUCUCUCUCUGGACUUCACACUUACGGAAGAAUCAUUUGGUAAACAUUAUGUUAUCGAGCUUAAACCUGGUGGCAAGAAUGUUUGUGUGACAAAUGAGAACAAGAUGCAGUAUGUUCAUGCAAUGGCAGAUUAUAAACUCAAUCGACAGAUAUUACCCUAUUCAAAUGCAUUUUACAGGGGACUAACGGAUCUCAUAUCCCCAUCUUGGUUAAAGUUGUUUAAUGCAAGCGAAUUCAAUCAGUUACUUUCAGGUGGUGACUUUGACAUUGAUGUUGAUGACUUAAGAAAUAACACACGUUACACAGGUGGCUACUCUGAGGGGACUCGGACAAUCAAACUUUUCUGGGAGGUAAUUAAAGGAUUUGAACCAAAGGAACGAUGUAUGCUGGUAAAAUUUGUGACCAGCUGUUCUCGAGCUCCAUUACUUGGGUUCAAACACUUGCAGCCAUCCUUUACUAUCCAUAAGGUUGCAUGUGAUGCCUCUCUUUUGGCAACAAUUGGAGGACAAGAUGUGGAGCGGCUUCCAUCAGCUUCUACGUGCUACAAUACUCUUAAGCUUCCAACAUACAAGCGAGCAAGCACUUUGAGAGCAAAACUUCUAUAUGCAAUAAGUUCCAACACUGGAUUUGAACUUUCUUAGGGAUUUAUGGAUCUUUGAGGUCUUGAUAUUUCAGGUGAAUAUUUUUGCUUUAUGUUUCCUAAAUCAUUAGUUCUAUGCUAA